GCAUGCAGUGAGGCAGGUUCACAGGCAAGCACAGAGCAACAAGAAGAUACCAUUCAACAACCGUAUACAAGUAGCGACUGUCAAUAUGGAAUCAGGUCAAACUGGAGCAAGAUUCCCAAAACCAAAAUUAAUGUUGCGAAUGUUUGCUUCGCAUCGAUAUUUAGUGGGUUCAUUACAGGGAAAGAAGACCACUAUUAUAUCCUGUCUCUGCGUACCUUGCUCUUUGCAUGCUUUCUCUUUUUUGCUUGGCCAGGAAUUCUGUUAAGUGUAGCUGCUCUCAUCAAUGCUAAAAAGGCUCAAGAACUGGACAUUGAAGGCAAUAAAACUGAGGCUGAGAGAAAGGCUUCUCUGGCUCGGAAUCUCAACAUUGCAUCCUACAUCACCACUGUAGUGUAUUUCGUAUUGGUGUCAACAAUACUCCCAGUGGCUAUUUACUUCGGAAUCGUAUACGGUUACAUCAUAGAUUGAAGAAUCUAUGGUUACAUGUAGCUACAAUAAGGACAUACGCCUGAGGCUAUAGGUACAAUGUAUAUACAUGCAGCUGAUUUAGAAAUAAAGAACACCGACACUAGUUAGUGCACACUAGAUGCAUUUGUACCGAUAUUUCAUACAAUAAAACAUCAGAUUGCAAAGUUUAUUUAAUAACUGGAGUGCCUGUACACUCCAGAUUGCUCUCAAGAGAAUAAAUUAAGAGAUGUAAUCAUUAGAGCAUAGCAAAAACAAUAGCUUGUUCUUACAAUUUAUGUGGACAUUGAAGGCAACACAGCUGAGGCCGAGAAAAAGGCUGCUCUGGCCAAGAAACUCAACAUUGCAACCUACAUCACCUUGAUCCACAGUGUAUUGUUUUGAUCAUAGGAUUCAUGCUAUGUGUGUUUUUACUGUUUUAUAUCUUGACAAAUGUUACCAAAUUAUGCCACACGGCUACGUGACUGACACGAAAAGGACUCACUGUACGACUUUUAUUACACACACACUUGUUACCUUGAACUGUAGCUACCUUAUGUACGA